UGCUGACAGUGAGCUCAGUGUGAGAGACAGAGGAGCCUCGCGACCACCUGCUAAACUCUCCAACGGUUAUCAGUUGACGGGCUAACGUCUAGCAGCAGCUAACCAACUAACGAACGGAAAACUUCAGUAUCCAGUGGAGAUAACGACUGACGGUUGACAGUAAAGCAGUUCUAUAAUGGAGGAGCUUCACGACGUCCAGCUGACUGAGAUCAAACCUCUCCUGACAGGACAGAAUGGGAGAAAUCUGCAGGACUUUGACUGUCAGGUGAGUUCAGCACCG